AAAAUGAGAGUUUGAUCCUGGCUCAGGAUAAACGCUGGCGGCAUGCCUAAUACAUGCAAGUCGAACGGGGGUGCUUGCACCCCAGUGGCGAACGGGUGAGUAACACGUAUCUAACCUACCUCAUAGCGGGGGAUAACUUUUGGAAACGAAAGAUAAUACCGCAUGUGAAUCUUAUUAUCGCAUGAGAAAAGAUUGAAAGGACCGUUUGGUUCACUAUGAGAUGGGGAUGCGGCGUAUUAGCUAGUAGGUGAGGUAAUGGCUCACCUAGGCGAUGAUACGUAGCCGAACUGAGAGGUUGAUCGGCCACAUUGGGACUGAGAUACGGCCCAGACUCCUACGGGAGGCAGCAGUAGGGAAUUUUUCACAAUGGACGAAAGUCUGAUGAAGCAAUGCCGCGUGAGUGAUGACGGCCUUCGGGUUGUAAAGCUCUGUUGUAAGGGAAGAAAAAAUAGAGUAGGAAAUGCCUCUAUAUUGACGGUACCUUACCAGAAAGCCACGGCUAACUAUGUGCCAGCAGCCGCGGUAAUACAUAGGUGGCAAGCGUUAUCCGGAUUUAUUGGGCGUAUAGGGUGCGUAGGCGGUUUUGCAAGUUUGAGGUUAAAGCCCGGAGCUCAACUCCGGUUCGCCUUGAAAACUGCAUUACUAGAAUGCAAGAGAGGUAAGCGGAAUUCCAUGUGUAGCGGUGAAAUGCGUAGAUAUAUGGAAGAACACCUGUGGCGAAAGCGGCUUACUGGCUUGUUAUUGACGCUGAGGCACGAAAGCGUGGGGAGCAAAUAGGAUUAGAUACCCUAGUAGUCCACGCCGUAAACGAUGAGUACUAGGUGUUGGGGUUAUCUCAGCGCCGCAGCUAACGCAUUAAGUACUCCGCCUGAGUAGUAUGCUCGCAAGAGUGAAACUCAAAGGAAUUGACGGGGACCCGCACAAGUGGUGGAGCAUGUGGUUUAAUUCGAAGCAACACGAAGAACCUUACCAGGGCUUGACAUCCAGUGCAAAGCUAUAGAGAUAUAGUGGAGGUUAACAUUGAGACAGGUGGUGCAUGGUUGUCGUCAGUUCGUGCCGUGAGGUGUUGGGUUAAGUCCCGCAACGAACGCAACCCUUGUCGUUAGUUACUAACAUUCAGUUGAGGACUCUAACGAGACUGCUAGUGUAAGCUAGAGGAAGGUGGGGAUGACGUCAAAUCAUCAUGCCCCUUAUGUCCUGGGCUACACACGUGCUACAAUGGCUGGUACAAAGAGUCGCAAUCUCGCGAGGGGGAGCUAAUCUCAAAAAGCCAGUCUCAGUUCGGAUUGAAGUCUGCAACUCGACUUCAUGAAGCCGGAAUCACUAGUAAUCGCGAAUCAGCUAUGUCGCGGUGAAUACGUUCUCGGGUCUUGUACACACCGCCCGUCACACCACGAGAGUUGGUAAUACCAGAAGUGGGUAGCUUAACCGCAAGGAGAGCGCCUCCCAAGGUAGGACUGGCGAUUGGGGUGAAGUCGUAACAAGGUAUCCGUACGGGAACGUGCGGAUGGAUCACCUCCUUUCUAUGGAG
rnacentral:rRNA from 1 species